CUCACCUUUAUUAUCACAGGGAAGAGAGCUAGGUUGGGUUCCAGACCAACUGGGCUGGGUUCCCAGUCUUCUGUGCAAUGCCUUCCCUCCUGCCUGCAUACCCCUGCUUUGGAAAGCACUCCUGGCUGAGGCCUUGCCUUCCUGGGUCCUAACCGAACCUUUUGUGGACCCCCCCCAUCCACCCACACACACUGAGACCAUCCCUGGUGGCACCUUUGUCAGAAGCAGAGUCUCACAGGGCAAUGGGGACCAAGGGCCGCAUAGAAGCCUGGACAGGUGUAACUGCUCUCCAGGGAUGCAGCUGUGAAAGAGGCGAGGACUCAGCUCACUCCAGAGCCGACGGAACUCAGAGAAGCAGAGUCGCCGGACCAAGCACUGCCCAAGAAGAGGGAUGGGGACCAGGCGGUGCCGGGCUACGGUGGUCCUCCGGGUGCCAUAAAUGCUAAAAUCACCCAUCUCCUGUAAUCCUGCAUCUGUGCUCUCAAGAGUGAGAUGGUUAAGUUCACCGCUUUGUGGAGCUGGCUGCGGAUGGCUUCUGUGUGGUCCUCUGUCCCGGGAGAAGAUAGAGCGCAGGCUGAUGGGAAGGCUCAGCCGGUGAAGACACUCGCUUCCACACCUGUGGCCUGAGUGCAAUCCUGGUGAGCUUCAUGGUGGAAGCAGAGAACUGAGGCCAUAAGGAGUCCUCUGACUGCUACAUCUGUGCCUCGCACACUCUCCCAGUAACUAAAACUGUCAUUAAAACCUUAAAAGGGGCUGGAGGGAUGGCUCAGCGGUUAAGAGCACUGCCCGCUCUUCCAGAGGUCAUGAGUUCAAAUCCCAGCAACCACACGGUGGCUCACAACCAUCUGUAAUGGGAUCGGAUGCCCUCUUCUAGUGUGUCUGAAGACAGCGACGGUGUACCCACAUACAUAAAAUAAAUAA
ensembl:lncRNA